rnacentral:piRNA from 1 species
UGACUACAAGUUGCCACGGGCAAAGGAAGU